rnacentral:rRNA from 1 species
GACGAACGCUGGCGGCGUGCCUAAUACAUGCAAGUUGAGCGCUGAAGGUUGGUACUUGUACCAACUGGAUGAGCAGCGAACGGGUGAGUAACGCGUGGGGAAUCUGCCUUUGAGCGGGGGACAACAUUUGGAAACGAAUGCUAAUACCGCAUAAAAACUUUAAACACAAGUUUUAAGUUUGAAAGAUGCAAUUGCAUCACUCAAAGAUGAUCCCGCGUUGUAUUAGCUAGUUGGUGAGGUAAAGGCUCACCAAGGCGAUGAUACAUAGCCGACCUGAGAGGGUGGUCGGCCACAUUGGGACUGAGACACGGCCCAAACUCCUACGGGGGGCAGCAGUAGGGAAUCUUCGGCCAUGGACGAAAGUCUGACCGGGCAACGCCGCGUGAGUGAAGAAGGUUUUCGGGUCGUAAAACUCUGUUGGUAGAGAAGAACGUUGGUGGGAGUGGAAAGCGCAUCAAGUGACGGUAACUACCCAGAAAGGGACGGCUAACUACGUG